GGAAACAGAUGCUAAUACCGGAUAACAACAGAUGAUGCCUAUCAACUGUUUAAAAGAUGGUUCUGCUAUCACUCUUGGAUGGACCUGCGGUGCAUUAGCUAGUUGGUAGGGUAACGGCCUACCAAGGCGAUGAUGCAUAGCCGAGUUGAGAGACUGAUCGGCCACAUUGGGACUGAGACACGGCCCAAACUCCUACGGGAGGCAGCAGCG
rnacentral:rRNA from 1 species